CUCUUCUGUUCUCAAAGAAUUUGGUACACUAAAUACUUCACUUUUGGAAUUUGAUCAGGACUUUUAGGUACCUCCUUAAGUUUAAUAAUUCGAACAGAACUAGGACAACCAGGAUCUCUUCUAAAUGACGAUCAACUAUAUAAUGU